GUGUGUGUGUGUGUGUGUGUGUGUGUGUGUGUGUGUGUGUGUGUGUGUGUGUGCGGCCACAGAACAUCAAAGAUACUGAAAUAUUAUAUUGUGUGAAAUCAGGGUGUAUGAGCAAUAAUACUCUUGCCUUAGUAAGAUAAUAGGCAGUUAAAUGUAUCAACUAUACAAAUGAAUUAUAAUACAAGUAGAAUGAGAAGUGCACAUAGUAAAGAAUGGUUUCUUUCACUGUGUAACAUCAACUAACUACAGGUAAUGGAAGAGUAUUGAGAUACUUUACAAAGGAACAGAAAAAAGUACUCAAAGACAGAAUACAUUUCAGAGUUUUAAAAAACAAAGAUUUGACAUGUAACAUUCAAUUGAAAAAAAAAAAACAUUUCCAAUAUGACUAAAAAUCCUACAAGAACCAGCAUACAAAUUAUUUUAUGAAUUUUAAAAAUGUAUAGGAAUCCUAAAGGAUUUUAUUGGAAUCAAUAGAAGAAGAAAAAGA